rnacentral:rRNA from 1 species
CCUGCCCAAGCAGAGAGACCAGCGAAC